UACGGAGGGGGCUAGCGUUGUUCGGAAUUACUGGGCGUAAAGCACACGUAGGCGGCUUUGUAAGUUAGAGGUGAAAGCCCGGGGCUCAACUCCGGAAUUGCCUUUAAGACUGCAUCGCUAGAAUUGUGGAGAGGUAAGUGGAAUUCCGAGUGUAGAGGUGAAAUUCGUAGAUAUUCGGAAGAACACCAGUGGCGAAGGCGACUUACUGGACACAUAUUGACGCUGAGGAGCGAAAGCGUGGGUAGCAAACAGG
rnacentral:rRNA from 1 species